rnacentral:tRNA from 1 species
GGUAGGUAGCUCAGUGGUAGAGUGCUUGCCUUGCAUGCAUGAAGCCCUGGGUUUGAUUCCUCAGCACCA